rnacentral:rRNA from 1 species
CUUGUUAAUAAUAAGAGGUCCAGCCUGCCCAGUGACAAAGUUCAACGGCCGCGGUACCCUAACCGAGCGAAGGUAGCAUAAUCACUUGUUCUUUAAAUAAGGACUUGUAUCAAUGGCACCACGAGGGUCGUACUGUCUCCUUUCUCCAAUCAGUGAAACUGAUCUUCCCGUGAAAAAGCGGGAAUACACAUAUAAGACGAGAAGACCCCAUGGAGCUUUAAACCUCUAGCAACUUAACUAUAAAUUUCUUCACAGCCCCAAAGAAAUGCUUGUUGGUUUUAGGUUGGGGUGACCACGGAGUAAAAACCAACCUCCGCAACGCAUAAACCUAAAUUUUUAUUUAAGAGCCACAACUCUAAAAAAUAGUAUACUAACGUACACUGAUCCGAUAAUCGAUUAAUGAACCA